rnacentral:rRNA from 1 species
CCUACGGGAGGCAGCAGUGGGGAAUAUUGCACAAUGGGCGCAAGCCUGAUGCAGCCCUGCCGCGUGUGUGAAGAAGGCCUUCGGGUUGUAAAGCACUUUCAGCGGGGAGGAAGGCGUUAAGGUUAAUAACCUUGGCGAUUGACGUUACCCGCAGAAGAAGCACCGGCUAACUCCGUGCCAGCAGCCGCGGUAAUACGGAGGGUGCAAGCGUUAAUCGGAAUUACUGGGCGUAAAGCGCACGCAGGCGGUCUGUCAAGUCGGAUGUGAAAUCCCCGGGCUCAACCUGGGAACUGCAUUCGAAACUGGCAGGCUAGAGUCUUGUAGAGGGGGGUAGAAUUCCAGGUGUAGCGGUGAAAUGCGUAGAGAUCUGGAGGAAUACCGGUGGCGAAGGCGGCCCCCUGGACAAAGACUGACGCUCAGGUGCGAAAGCGUGGGGAGCAAACAGGAUUAGAUACCCGGGUAGUC